rnacentral:lncRNA from 13 species
CCCGAAAAAUGGGGGGUAAAUCGGGGAGUGUGGCGGAGCGUGCUUACCGGGGCGAGCAGGUGACAGGUGCUGUGGGGUGAUGCGCACUGUGUCUCGGCCGAGUAUUCACAGGCCGGUGUGCUCGGUGCCAGUGUCCCGCAUUUGCCGGGUGCAAGCUGGCAUCCAGCCAGAACGGGGGGAGCCAGCUAUGCGGUCGAGACCGCCAGUGCGCCUCCACGGCCCUGUGUAUCCGGUGCCUCGGCCAAGGAAGAGGCCGCCUGUGUGUCUCCCCAGCCUGGUGAGUCCUGUGCCUGCUCCCAGAACCAAGUCUCCCUCCUGUCCGGAGCUGCCAGAGCCCCCCUCCUGUCUGGAGCUGCCAGAGCCCCCCUCCUGUCCGGAGCUGCCAGAGCCGCCCUCCUGUCCGGAGCUGCCAGAGCCGCCCUCCUGUCCGGAGCUGCCAGAGCCGCACUCCUGUCCGGAGCUGCCAGAGCCGCACUCCUGUCUGGAGCUGCCAGAGUCUCCCACCUGUCUAGCGCAGCCAGUCUCCCUCCUAUUCGGGGCCCGCUGUACGGGUCCCCAGUUCGGGGUCGGCGGCGAGGGAGGCGACCUAAGUGGGCCAAGACUAAGGUGGAGUGGGGUCUACGUCCCGCACCAGAGCAGCCACCGCAGUGAAAUGCCCACCCAGACCCUCCUCUAUAGGUUCAGGUUUUGCGGCCGGAGUCCGCACCUUUGGGGGGGGGGGGAUGUACUGUCACGUCCUGACCUUCUUCAGUUCUUUUUUUUAUGUCUCUAUUUUGGUUUGGUCAGGGCGUGAGUGGGGGAGGGCAUUCUAUGUUUUUCAUUCUGUUUUGUUCUGUGUGUUGUAUCUCUGUGUUUGGCCUGGAAUGGUUCCCAAUCAGAGGCAGCUGUCAAUCGUUGUCUCUGAUUGAGAACAAUACUUAGGUAGCCUGUUCCCACCUGUGUUUGUGGGUAGUUGUUUUUGUAUUCUGUACCAGAUAGAACUGUUUCGGUUUUGUUCAUUCUCGUUUGUUGUUUU